rnacentral:SRP_RNA from 1 species
UCAUACAGCUGGGGAGUUAGCGGUGCCCUGUAUCUACAACCCGCUUUAGUAGAGGUGAUAUCAGACUUGAGGAUAAUUUUAGUGUCAAAGACUUAUUUUAAAAAUGUUGAUAAAAUGGUCUUGUAUUGUAGAGUGAUAGCGAACCGUGUCAGAUUGGGAACGAAGCAGCACUAAGUUGUUUUCUCUAGGUUUACGAGGUAGCUAUUUUUGAGUUUUUAACUUAAGAAACCGAUGGUAAGAUUUUUUCGAGGGUCUGAUGUAUGA